ensembl:snRNA U6 U6 spliceosomal RNA
GUGCUUGCUUCAGCAGCACAUAUACAAAAACUGGAACGAUACCAAGAAGAUUAGCAUGACCCCUGCACAAGGAUGACACACAAAUUCAUGAAGAGUUAAAAUUAAAG